AUUGAACGCUGGCGGCAGGCCUAACACAUGCAAGUCGAACGAGUGGCGGACGGGUGAGUAAUGCCUGGGCAACUGCCCGCUGGAGGGGGAUAAAUACUGGAAACGGUCGCUUAUAACGCAUACCAUCGGUAUUACCCAGAUGGGAUUAGCUAGUGGGUGGGGAAACGGCUCACCUAGGCGACGAUCCCUAGCUGGUCUGAGAGGAUGACCAGCCACACUGGAACUGAGACACGGUCCAGACUCCUACGGGAGGCAGCGGGGGGGAAUAUUGCACAAUGGGCGCAAGCCUGAUGCAGCCAUGCCGCGUGUAUGAAGAAGGCCUUCGGGUUGUAAAGUACUUUCAGCGAGGAGGCGUUACUCGCAGAAGAAGCACCGGCUAACUCCGUGCCAGCAGCCGCGGUAAUUC
rnacentral:rRNA from 1 species